AAUCUCUUAAAGCUUCUCUCAGUUCGGAUUGCAGGCUGCAACUCGCCUGCAUGAAGCCGGAAUCGCUAGUAAUCGCGGAUCAGCACGCCGCGGUGAAUACGUUCCCGGGCCUUGUACACACCGCCCGUCACACCACGAGAGUUUGUAACACCCGAAGUCGGUGAGGUAACCUUUUGGAGCCAGCCGCCUAAGGUGGGAUAGAUGAUUGGGGUGAAGUCGUAACAAGGUAGCCGUAUCGGAAGGUGCGGCU
rnacentral:rRNA from 1 species